AGCGUACACGGUGGAUGCCCUGGCAGUCAGAGGCGAUGAAGGACGUGCUAAUCUGCGAUAAGCGCCGGUAAGGUGAUAUGAACCGUUAUAACCGGCGAUUUCCGAAUGGGGAAACCCAGUGUGACUCGUCACACUAUCAUUAACUGAAUCCAUAGGUUAAUGAGGCGAACCGGGGGAACUGAAACAUCUAAGUACCCCGAGGAAAAGAAAUCAACCGAGAUUCCCCCAGUAGCGGCGAGCGAACGGGGAGGAGCCCAGAGCCUGAAUCAGCAUGUGUGUUAGUGGAAGCGUCUGGAAAGGCGCGCGAUACAGGGUGACAGCCCCGUACACAAAAGCGCAUGUGCUGUGAGCUCGAUGAGUAGGGCGGGACACGUGGUAUCCUGUCUGAAUAUGGGGGGACCAUCCUCCAAGGCUAAAUACUCCUGACUGACCGAUAGUGAACCAGUACCGUGAGGGAAAGGCGAAAAGAACCCCGGCGAGGGGAGUGAAAAAGAACCUGAAACCGUGUACGUACAAGCAGUGGGAGCCCCACCACUAAGCCAGUGGUGAACUCCACAUACGCAUCCUUUGCUGAGGAUGCGGUUAACGGAGCGAAAGCGACGUUCAACCUCAAAAGAAGCAGAGGGGGCUUAGUGGUGGGGUGACUGCGUACCUUUUGUAUAAUGGGUCAGCGACUUAUAUUCUGUAGCAAGGUUAACCGAAUAGGGGAGCCGGAGGGAAACCGAGUCUUAAUUGGGCGUUAAGUUGCAGGGUAUAGACCCGAAACCCGGUGAUCUAGCCAUGGGCAGGUUGAAGGUUGGGUAACACUAACUGGAGGACCGAACCGACUAAUGUUGAAAAAUUAGCGGAUGACCUGUGGCUGGGGGUGAAAGGCCAAUCAAACCGGGAGAUAGCUGGUUCUCCCCGAAAGCUAUUUAGGUAGCGCCUCGUGAAUUCAUCUCCGGGGGUAGAGCACUGUUUCGGCUAGGGGGCCAUCCCGGCUUACCAACCCGAUGCAAACUGCGAAUACCGGAGAAUGUUAUCACGGGAGACACACGGCGGGUGCUAACGUCCGUCGUGAAGAGGGAAACAACCCAGACCGCCAGCUAAGGUCCCAAAGUCAUGGUUAAGUGGGAAACGAUGUGGGAAGGCCCAGACAGCCAGGAUGUUGGCUUAGAAGCAGCCAUCAUUUAAAGAAAGCGUAAUAGCUCACUGGUCGAGUCGGCCUGCGCGGAAGAUGUAACGGGGCUAAACCAUGCACCGAAGCUGCGGCAGCGACGCUGAUGCGUUGUUGGGUAGGGGAGCGUUCUGUAAGCCUGCGAAGGUGGCCUGUGAGGGUUGCUGGAGGUAUCAGAAGUGCGAAUGCUGACAUAAGUAACGAUAAAGCGGGUGAAAAGCCCGCUCGCCGGAAGACCAAGGGUUCCUGUCCAACGUUAAUCGGGGCAGGGUGAGUCGACCCCUAAGGCGAGGCCGAAAGGCGUAGUCGAUGGGAAACGGGUUAAUAUUCCCGUACUUGGUGUUACUGCGAAGGGGGGACGGAGAAGGCUAUGUUGGCCGGGCGACGGUUGUCCCGGUUUAAGCGUGUAGGUGUGUGUUCCAGGUAAAUCCGGUUCACUUUAACACUGAGGCGUGAUGACGAGGCACUACGGUGCUGAAGCAACAAAUGCCCUGCUUCCAGGAAAAGCCUCUAAGCAUCAGGUAACAUCAAAUCGUACCCCAAACCGACACAGGUGGUCAGGUAGAGAAUACCAAGGCGCUUGAGAGAACUCGGGUGAAGGAACUAGGCAAAAUGGUGCCGUAACUUCGGGAGAAGGCACGCUGACACGUAGGUGAAGUGAUUUACUCAUGGAGCUGAAGUCAGUCGAAGAUACCAGCUGGCUGCAACUGUUUAUUAAAAACACAGCACUGUGCAAACACGAAAGUGGACGUAUACGGUGUGACGCCUGCCCGGUGCCGGAAGGUUAAUUGAUGGGGUCAGCGCAAGCGAAGCUCCUGAUCGAAGCCCCGGUAAACGGCGGCCGUAACUAUAACGGUCCUAAGGUAGCGAAAUUCCUUGUCGGGUAAGUUCCGACCUGCACGAAUGGCGUAAUGAUGGCCAGGCUGUCUCCACCCGAGACUCAGUGAAAUUGAACUCGCUGUGAAGAUGCAGUGUACCCGCGGCAAGACGGAAAGACCCCGUGAACCUUUACUAUAGCUUGACACUGAACAUUGAGCCUUGAUGUGUAGGAUAGGUGGGAGGCUUUGAAGUGUGGACGCCAGUCUGCAUGGAGCCGGCCUUGAAAUACCACCCUUUAAUGUUUGAUGUUCUAACGUGGACCCGUGAUCCGGGUUGCGGACAGUGUCUGGUGGGUAGUUUGACUGGGGCGGUCUCCUCCUAAAGAGUAACGGAGGAGCACGAAGGUUGGCUAAUCCUGGUCGGACAUCAGGAGGUUAGUGCAAUGGCAUAAGCCAGCUUGACUGCGAGCGUGACGGCGCGAGCAGGUGCGAAAGCAGGUCAUAGUGAUCCGGUGGUUCUGAAUGGAAGGGCCAUCGCUCAACGGAUAAAAGGUACUCCGGGGAUAACAGGCUGAUACCGCCCAAGAGUUCAUAUCGACGGCGGUGUUUGGCACCUCGAUGUCGGCUCAUCACAUCCUGGGGCUGAAGUAGGUCCCAAGGGUAUGGCUGUUCGCCAUUUAAAGUGGUACGCGAGCUGGGUUUAGAACGUCGUGAGACAGUUCGGUCCCUAUCUGCCGUGGGCGCUGGAGAACUGAGGGGGGCUGCUCCUAGUACGAGAGGACCGGAGUGGACGCAUCACUGGUGUUCGGGUUGUCAUGCCAAUGGCACUGCCCGGUAGCUAAAUGCGGAAGAGAUAAGUGCUGAAAGCAUCUAAGCACGAAACUUGCCCCGAGAUGAGUUCU
rnacentral:rRNA from 1 species